GUAGGGUGCGAGCGUUGUCCGGAUUUAUUGGGCGUAAAGGGCUCGUAGGUGGUUGAUCGCGUCGGAAGUGUAAUCUUGGGGCUUAACCUGAGCGUGCUUUCGAUACGGGUUGACUUGAGGAAGGUAGGGGAGAAUGGAAUUCCUGGUGGAGCGGUGGAAUGCGCAGAUAUCAGGAGGAACACCAGUGGCGAAGGCGGUUCUCUGGGCCUUUCCUGACGCUGAGGAGCGAAAGCGUGGGGAGCGAACAGGCUUAGAUACCCUGGUAGUCCACGCUGUAAACGGUGGGUACUAGGUGUGGGGUCCAUUCCACGGGUUCCGCGCCGUAGCUAACGCUUUAAGUACCCCGCCUGGGGAGUACGGCCGCAAGGCUAAAACUCAAAGGAAUUGACGGGGCCCCGCACAAGCGGCGGAGCAUGCGGAUUAAUUCGAUGCAACGCGCAGAACCUUACCUGGGUUUGACAUGGAUCGGGAGUGCUCAGAGAUGGGUGUGCCUCUUUUGGGGUCGGUUCACAGGUGGUGCAUGGCUGUCGUCAGCUCGUGUCGUGAGAUGUUGGGUUAAGUCCCGCAACGAGCGCAACCCUUGUUCACUGUUGCCAGCACGUUAUGGUGGGGACUCAGUGGAGACCGCCGGGGUCAACUCGGAGGAAGGUGGGGAUGGCGUCAAGUCAUCAUGCCCCUUAUGUCCAGGGCUUCACGCAUGCUACAAUGGCUGGUACAGAGAGUGGCGAGCCUGUGAGGGUGAGCGAAUCUCGGAAAGCCGGUCUCAGUUCGGAUUGGGGUCUGCAACUCGACCUCAUGAAGUUGGAGUCGCUAGUAAUCGCAGAUCAGCAACGCUGCGGUGAAUACGUUCCCGGGGCUU
rnacentral:rRNA from 1 species